GCUAGGGUUUCGGUCAAUCCAAGCUCCGGACCCCCUGCUGAGCUCCUAGGACAUUUCCUCCCCUCGCAUCCCCACUCCCGGGUGAGUCACUGCUCUAGGGGCUGGUGAUGGGUCCUGGACCCUCAACCCCUCCUGUUCCUCUGCUCUGUCAUCAUCAUCCUAUGCCACCACCAGCUCACUGUCUGGCAAAAGAUGGACGGCCAGUGCCUAAUGCAAGUUCUACUCACGGCUGGCGCCCUGUCAGUUGCCCUCCUAGAGCGGGAGGUCUGGGACCCACUGCCGAGCCCUGAGGUCUUGCUGUCAGCCUUCCCCGACUCUGCCAAGGCUCCAGACAGUUGCCACGAAUGGAUCUUGGCUGGUGAGCUGAGGCUUGGGCUGGGAGCAGCAGGAAAUCGAAGGGAUGUGGUGAAGGCUGAGAACUGCUGGAAAGGAAACCAAGAUCCCGGAGCUCUAUGGACUCCAGGGUGUAGCUGAUACUUCUGGUGACCUCAGGUGAGUCACUGGCCAGCUCCGGACCUCAGGUUCCUCAUUGAGAAGCAGUAGCAGGUUUCAAAUGCUGCCCCUAUUAUUACGUAGGGAAAUGAAAACCUAGAUGAUUUAAAAGAGAGAGAAAAGAGCCAUCUGCCACAUUUCUGAUCAUUUCCCAAGUACCCCGUUAGAGCUCUGACCCCACGGGACACUCCAUGGGGUUGCAUGGGAAUCCUGCGCCCAGGAAGUAGAAGUUAGAAGCUUCAGAUGUGACAUCAGGAUGGAAUCAGGGAGGGGAAGUCUCGAUUCAGAGUCGACACAGCAGAUCAGUGACAGGGCGAAGCCUGGAACUCAAGUCCCUUGUUUUCAGCUCGGGCUGGUGAGGGGAAUCCCUGGGCCCUCUGAUGUCAACUCCGAGACUUGGAACUAACCCCUCGGUUAAAUCGAGCUGGGCUUCGCUGAAGGCAGGAAGGCUGGGGGGAGGUGGGGCCAGUCUGGAGCUGGGGGCACACCUCGGAGGCUCCCAAACACAGGUGGUGAGACCCUGAGCCCAGGCACAGCGCCCACCCCUUCCCCCCUGAGCGUGGAGGUGGAACAUCCCAGAGCCCCAGCCCCCAUCACCUGACUUCUCUCCUGUUGUACCCAUGCACCCCACACCACACCCAAGGUCAGUCAUUCUUUCUGCAGCAUGCCCUCGCCACGCCCCUUCCCACCGACCCUGGGGGCUGCCUCUAGAUGAGGUGUCUCCUAUGCGACUCCCGACCUGGGGCGGGGGAGUCUGGCAAGGGGAAAGGGCUUCUCUCCCUCGAUCCCAUCUCUUUUUUCCCUGUCAGAGAGAAAAAAGGCCUCAAGGCCAUGGCAGACACCUAGGGAGGGCUGAGACAAAGGGGUGGGGGUGGGGGACGCACUAGUGAUGAGAUAUUUAUCGCGGGGCGUUCUGUGUGCGUGACGCAGGAAUGCAGGGGCGGGAAGACUGAGCCACGCAGGGUGUGGGGGAGAAGGUGGGACACCAGCUCUGUGGAGUGCCAGGAAGGAAGAGUUUGAAACCCAGGAGGCAGGGCUGUCGAGGAAAAAUCACCGGCCUGGGGGUAAAAAGUCCCCGGUUCAAGUCCCGGCCCUGCUUGCCCUUCCCCCACCAAGUGUACCCUCUUGAAAGAGAGCGGCCCAAACACUCUUGGCUUCAGUUUCUCCAUUUGUAAGAUGAGGCUUGCGAUCCCAGGCCUGCCCACCUCCCAGCUCAGACAUGGAGGUGAACUUGGGAGACAUAGGGGGUCACGGGUCAGGGCCCCACUUGGGAGUCAGUCCUACGCUGCUUUCACAGCCCCUAUACUUCCUUUGGUCAAGUACGACCUUUGGCGAGGCCUGAAAUCCCCCUGUUCUUGGCUCAUCUACUAGGUGGGAGGCUACUUAUUUGCCGGAUGGGACUGCGGUGACGAUUACGCACAUAAAUGGCUCCCACUGAGUAGCUGUGUGAUCUUAGGCAAGUUACUUAACCUCUCUGUGCCUGCUUUGCCAGCUAUAACAUGAGGCAAAUAAUACAAGCUCCUAAGACUGUUUAGAUGAUUUAAUGAGCUAUUAUUUACCAAGAGGUUGGAACCAGGGCCUGGCAUGUGGUAAGACAACAGGUAUAAGGAAAGAAAUGUUAGUUGUCAUUAAUAAAUACAAGGCAUGGUUGCCCUCCACGGACGAAAAAAGGUGGAAGGAGAGUGGGAAGAAGAGGGUAAGGAACAGAAAAGGCUGCAGUCACAUCUUACGAAUUAGGGACGGUUGGGGCUGUGAGUGGUGAGGGCACAGGCAGAGGGGACCUAGUGACCCAGAAACAUGCGUCAGGGCAGAAUUCGGGCCAGAAACAGAAAUCGCCGGGAGCCAGCCAAUUGGGCCCUGGGCCAGGGUGUGGACAGCCUCAAAUAUGAGAGCCAGUGGGUGGGACUCACCUCCCAGGCCAGGGGAGGCUUCAUCCUGUCUAUGAAGAAGACCUGGAAUGGAGACAGUCCCUGGGCUGAGCCCCCGGACGGGUCACGCCAGGUGUCUGAGGGAGGGGCGCAGGCCCGAGCACACACCAGGCCUCCGGCGGCCCUAAGCUCGGAGGCUGACACCGGGCCCUACGCCCCACCCAGAGCUGUCACCCCGCAGCCUCUGCGGGGGUCUCAGCCACCCGUGGCUGCCGUGUCCCUCACUCGUCUGGCCCACUGCAUGUGAAACCCCCAGGUGGCUCCCCCGGAAUGGUAUGCACCCACUGCUUAUAGUUUUAUGUCUUAUGUGAUUCAUACAAAAGAAUAUAUACAACCCACCCACUUUUCUUGCUCCUGCCUCAGUUUUGGUCCUGGCCUUAAGGGUCCCCGUGGCUUCUCAUUCCACUCAGUGAAAGCAAAACCCUCUGAAUGGCUUACAAAGCCCUGGUGAUCCUUCCCACUGACCUCCUUUAUUCCCUCCCACACCUUCUGGCUGCCCCACAAACACUCCAGGCGCACUCCUACCUCAGGGCCUUUGUACCUGCUAUUCCCUCUGUGUAGAACACCUUCCUCAGCUCUUCAAAUAACGGGCUCCUUGUACCUCCAUCUGGUGUUUCAUCUUUUCAUGAAUGCCUUUCUCCCUCUAUGGCUUGAGGACUGUCGCCUCCUGUUCCCACCUACACUAAGACCCCUAAGAUCUAGAUGUUAGUCUCUUAGCUUUUCAAUUUUUCUGCACAUUCUGGGCCCUUCCCAAGGCCCCUAGGGUCUUCCCCAGACCUCCUCCAGACCCACCUCCUCAGACAUGAGUCCUGCUGCCAAUAUUGAUGUGAACAACUUCCACUCUUUCCCCUUGGGGUAGGAGAGGGGAAGACAGAAUUAGGGAUUGAGUACUGAGGUGUGUCAACCAUGGUCCCUGCCCCCAGAGGCGGCCACCUAGCUGAGAAGACUGGAUACACGUGGGAGACCAGAGGCAAAGCAGGGCAGUUUGUAACUUACCGGUCUGCAGCUGUGACUAAACAGGCAGGAUGUGAACUUGAACCUGCUGUUGGCUGCCGUGAGGGAAGACUCUGCCUCAGUCUGGAACUGACUUUGGAAAGUAGAGCUGAGAGCCAGAGAGGGAGACAAGGGUCUUCCAAGUUACUUCGAGCUCCUGGAUCCAGCUCUUCCUGAAGCGAUUACUUUGAAAAGUUUAGUUUCGUGAGUGAAUCUCUAAAAAAUAUAUUUUUUUUAAUGUUUAUUUAUUUUCGAGAGAGAGUGUGAGUGGGGGAGGAGGAGGGGCAGAAAGAGAGGAGACACGGAAU